GAUGAAGAACGUAGCGAAAUGCGAUAAGUAAUGUGAAUUGCAGAAUUCAGUGAAUCAUCGAAUCUUUGAACGCACAUUGCGCCCGCCAGUAUUCUGGCGGGCAUGCCUGUUCGAGCGUCAUUUCAACCCUCAAGCCCCAGCGGCCUGGUGUUGGGGACCGGCGACCUCGCCCGAGCCCGCCCUCCGGGGCGCGUGCCCGGUGCGUCCGCCGCCCCCGAAAUGAAUUGGCGGCCUCGUCGCGGCCUACUCUGCGUAGUAGCACAACCUCGCAAGCGGGAGCGCGACGCGGCCACUGCCGUAAAACGCCCAACUUUUUUAGAGUUGACCUCGGAUCAGGUAGGAAUACCCGCUGAACUUAAGCAUAUCAAUAAGCGGAGGA
rnacentral:misc_RNA from 1 species